ACCACCGCUACUUGUCACGACAUUCAGUUGGGCACUCUAAGGUGACUGCCGGCUAAAAGUCGGAGGAAGGUGGGGAUGACGUCAAAUCAUCAUGCCCCUUAUGACCUGGGCUACACACGUGCUACAAUGGGCGGUACAAAGGGUCGCGAACCCGCGAGGGGGAGCCAAUCCCAAAAAGCCGCUCUCAGUUCGGAUUGCAGGCUGCAACUCGCCUGCAUGAAGCCGGAAUCGCUAGUAAUCGCGGAUCAGCAUGCCGCGGUGAAUACGUUCCCGGGCCUU
rnacentral:rRNA from 1 species